GACGAACGCUGGCGGCGUGCUUAACACAUGCAAGUCGAACGGAAAGGCCCUGCUUUUGUGGGGUGCUCGAGUGGCGAACGGGUGAGUAACACGUGAGUAACCUGCCCUUUACUUUGGGAUAACUUCAGGAAACUGGGGCUAAUACCUGAUAGGAGCUCCUGCUGCAUGGUGGGGGUUGGAAAGUUUCGGCGGUUGGGGAUGGACUCGCGGCUUAUCAGCUUGUUGGUGGGGUAGUGGCUUACCAAGGCUUUGACGGGUAGCCGGCCUGAGAGGGUGACCGGCCACAUUGGGACUGAGAUACGGCCCAGACUCCUACGGGAGGCAGCAGUGGGGAAUAUUGCACAAUGGGCGGAAGCCUGAUGCAGCAACGCCGCGUGCGGGAUGACGGCCUUCGGGUUGUAAACCGCUUUCGCCUGUGACGAAGCGUGAGUGACGGUAAUGGGUAAAGAAGCACCGGCUAACUACGUG
rnacentral:rRNA from 1 species